UACGAAGGGGGCUAGCGUUGUUCGGAAUCACUGGGCGUAAAGGGCGCGUAGGCGGCUUUGUAAGUCGGGGGUGAAAGCCUGUGGCUCAACCACAGAAUUGCCUUCGAUACUGCAUGGCUUGAGACCGGAAGAGGUUAGUGGAACUGCGAGUGUAGAGGUGAAAUUCGUAGAUAUCGGGAGGAACACCAGUGGCGAAGGCGAGUCUCUGGGAUGAUACUGACGCUGAUGCUCGAAAGCUAGGGGAGCAAACGGG
rnacentral:rRNA from 1 species